UACGUAGGGUCCGAGCGUUGUCCGGAAUUAUUGGGCGUAAAGGGCUCGUAGGCGGUUCGUCACGUCGGGAGUGAAAACUCGGAGCUUAACUCCGAGCCUGCAGUCGAUACUGCUGUGACUAGAGUUCGGUAGGGGAUCACGGAAUUCCUGGUGUAGCGGUGAAAUGCGCAGAUAUCAGGAGGAACACCGGUGGCGAAGGCGGUGAUCUGGGCCGACACUGACGCUGGUAGAGCGAAAGCGUGGGGAGCGAACAGGA
rnacentral:rRNA from 1 species